CGCCGUCGAGGUCCAGGAUGACGAGGUCGUACGCGUCGACCAGCGCGGGCGCGCUCACCGCGCCGGCGGCGGGUCGUCCCCACCGGUGGCGC
rnacentral:tRNA from 1 species